rnacentral:lncRNA from 1 species
UCCGAUCCACACGCUGGGAUACUGUGUGGAUAUCUGUAUAUACUCCUACUUACUACUCCACCUCCGCGACUUCGCUCCUGCCGGCCCGGCCAUCUCCAUCCACCGGCUGCUCUGCUCCGGUCCGGUCCGGCCGGCCACCUCGCCACCACUGCCGCCUUGUGAUGCUUCUCUCUCUCUCUCUCUCUCUCUCUCUCUCUCUCCGGGAGCUCGAAGGGGAUCCUUGGUGUUCUUAGCGGGGAAGGAGGAGGCGCCCCUGCAUUUGACUAUUUUGGUUGCUCUCUUUCUUCGAUUCAUUCUGCUUUUUUCCUCUGCUGUCAAUUUAUUUGUGGGAUUAGUCUACGCAGACAUGACUCCAACAACUACAGGUUCUUGCUAGCCGCUAUUUGAUUUCCUUUCAUUUCCUUUUGGGAGGAAAAGAAGUUCUUGGCUAAGUAAGAUCCACCUCCGAUGCUAGUUUCAAUCCGACUAUUUUAAUACCCACUCCACUCUGGGUUUCUGUGUUCGUCGUUGGUGACCAGGGAGUCAACUUGUGAAGCUGACAAGUUCGACCAGCAAUAAAGUUCGGCAGAAUCUUCACACUUCUUUAUUGUUUUAAUAGGAGACGAGCGUCGCGCCUCAUCCCAUCUCGGCCGGAGCAACCAGCAAGACAGUGCUCUGCCGUGCCUCCCCUCGUUCUCUCCUUCCUCCCAGUUUUCUCUCUCUCACUCAUCCUACCUUGUUUUCUUUCAGGAGCAAUCUGGAGCAACCAUGGCGCCGCCUUGGUGAAACCCGCUGCCUUCCAAGGUCCCGCUGCUGCUCACCUGGAUCUGGCCGCCGCUGUUAUUCCGCACGCCCAGCCCGUCCGCCCCCGCCC